rnacentral:misc_RNA from 1 species
CAUUAUAGGUAGCCAAUCCUCCUUCAUCUUGCCUCCUGCUUUCCUCCGUGAAUCUCCACCAGUGACCGAUCAAGGAAUUUAACAAUGCAAAUGGCAACUUCUCUAUGCUUCUUCACUCUUCUGCUGUUCCUUGAGACCAUCUCUUUCUUUCACCUCCAGGUGAUUGCUGCAGCACCAGAUUCCAAGCCGAAGCUUAAUUCUAGG